AUAUAUAUAUAUAUAUAUAUAUAUAUAUAUAUAUAUUCAUGUUUGAUUUAAGCUUCUGACUUUAUAUCAUUAAUAUUCACCGAUAUAACAUAAACCAAUGGAAUAUAUGUUAUUAAAUCGUAACAUACAAACUUAAUGUGAAAGUAAUUAUAUGAAACCGAAAUAAAUUAAAUUAUAACGGAAACAAUUUAAUUCUCAUCGACAUAAUGUAUAUGCAAUAAAAUUACUAAACCAAUAAAUGUCAAUAAUGUAGCGGUUACUUGCAAAACUAACUCAUUUGCAUCUCCAAUUACUUC
rnacentral:lncRNA from 1 species